GAUGAAGAACGCAGCGAAAUGGGAUAAGUAAUGUGAAUUGCAGAAUUCAGUGAAUCAUCGAAUCUUUGAACGCACAUUGCGCCCGCCAGUAUUCUGGCGGGCAUGCCUGUUCGAGCGUCAUUUCAACCAUCAAGCCCCGGGCUUGUGUUGGGGACCUGCGGCUGCCGCAGGCCCUGAAAAGCAGUGGCGGGCUCGCUGUCACACCGAGCGUAGUAGCAUACAUCUCGCUCUGGGCGUGCUGCGGGUUCCGGCCGUUAAACCACCUUUUAACCCAAGGUUGACCUCGGAUCAGGCAGGAAGACCCGCUGAACUUAAGCAUAUCAAUAAGCGGAGGA
rnacentral:misc_RNA from 1 species